UACGGAGGAUGCGAGCGUUAUCCGGAUUUAUUGGGUUUAAAGGGUGCGCAGGCGGCGCGUUAAGUCAGCGGUAAAAUUUCGGGGCUCAACCCCGACGAGCCGUUGAAACUGGCGUGCUAGAGUGGGCGAGAAGUAUGCGGAAUGCGUGGUGUAGCGGUGAAAUGCAUAGAUAUCACGCAGAACUCCGAUUGCGAAGGCAGCAUACCGGCGCCCAACUGACGCUCAUGCACGAAAGCGUGGGUAUCGAA
rnacentral:rRNA from 1 species